CCUUCGGGUUGUAAAGCACUUUUAUCGGGAGCGAAAUACCAUUGGCUAAUAACCGAUGGGGCUGACGGUACCCGAGGAAUAAGCACCGGCUAACUUCGUGCCAGCAGCCGCGGUAAUACGAAGGGUGCAAGCGUUAAUCGGAAUUACUGGGCGUAAAGGGUGCGUAGGCGGUUAGUUAAGUCUGUUGUGAAAUCCCCGGGCUCAACCUGGGAAUGGCAAUGGAUACUGGCUAGCUAGAGUGUGUCAGAGGAUGGUGGAAUUUCCGGUGUAGCGGUGAAAUGCGUAGAGAUCGGAAGGAACAUCAGUGGCGAAGGCGGCCAUCUGGGACAACACUGACGCUGAAGCACGAAAGCGUGGGGAGCAGACAGGAUUAGAUACCCUGGUAGUCCACGCCCUAAACGAUGCGAACUGGAUGUUGGUCUCAACUCGGAGAUCAGUGUCGAAGCUAACGCGUUAAGUUCGCCGCCUGGGGAGUACGGUCGCAAGACUGAAACUCAAAGGAAUUGACGGAAUCGAAUU
rnacentral:rRNA from 1 species